ensembl:lncRNA LINC00964 long intergenic non-protein coding RNA 964
AGAAGUGACAUAUGCAGCAUGACCAGUGGAAGCUUCGAAGAGCUAUUGCCAAUUUCCACCCUCUCUCUGGAAACUGUCAUUAGGGUUAGGGAAACUGUCAUGAGAUCUGCAUAUUUUAGAUAGAGGCUGCUUGCCUUAUUUGGGCACCUAAUGAAAAAGACAUGGAGGCCAGGUGCGGUGGCUCAUGUCUGUAAUCCCAGCACUUUGGGAGGCCAAGGCGAGUGGAUCACCUGAGGUCAGGAGUUCGAGACCAGCCUGACCAACAUGGCAAAACCCCGUCUGUACUAAAAGUGCAAACACAAAGGGAACUGCGUGGCUUGUUUCUACCUGAACAUUGUCAAGUGAUUUCAUCCUUUGAAACACAGUUGUGAAGUGUGUCCAGCAGUCUGAGAACAAGAAGAAGAAGAAAAUCUAAUCCUUCAGGGUGUCUGUGUGCCAGCCCUGCUCUCAGCACUUCCCAUGUGGAACUCCUUUACUUCUCCUAACAACUCCAUGACAUGGGUUAGACUGUGAUUGUUCCCAUAUUGUUGGUAGGGAAACUGAGGCAUGCAGGUGUUACAGAGCUCUCUCAAGUGGCAAGCUUUCUGGGUGGUUACAGAGUGGCAGAGCUGGGGUAUCCCAUGAUGUCACCACACUGCUAUAUGGAAAAGAACAUUAAUCGAGCACCUACGUGCUUGAUUCUCUUAAUUCUGUGACUGAACUCUCAAAACACCCUGGAUUGUCUACUUCCCCUCCUAGACUGUACUCUCCACAAGAGAGCAAAGCUGUGUCUGUUGCAUUCACUGUUGUCUUCCCAGAAGCAAGCAGCAUGCUGGAGACCCUCAAAUACAUGUGAAAUGAAGGGACACCUUGUGUUAUUUCACCUGUUUCCACCUGGUUCCCAAGUGGCAAGCUUGCAUUGAGGUUACAAAGUGGCAAAGCUGGGAUAUCACAUGAUGUCACCAUGAUGCUAUAUGAAAUGUAACAUUAAUUGAGUACCUAUGUGACCAGUUCUUUAAUUCUGUAAGUGAACUCUCAAAAAACCCUAGAGCACUGCGUGUUUUGAAAUAUACAAAUAGUGGGAAACGAAAUCUUUGUUCUGGAUGCAGUUAUAAUUUGGAAAGCGAGGAAAUAAAUUAUAACAAGGGGAAAAAACAGACACAGAGGGAUUGAAAUGCAUAACAAUAGAGAUGAAACACGAAGAGUGAUAAAUGAAGAUUGAGUGUGCACACCUUCUGGAGGAGCCCUGAUUGAGUAUUUUAAAAUACUACUAAAGUCAUGCCGUGUGACUUCUGAAGCUAGCUCCUAAGAAGUCCUUGCAGCUUCUGCCUGCGACUCUUAGAACACUUGCUUUGAAGGAUGCCAGAUGCUGUCUUAAAAGUCUGAGCACUCUGAAACCAUCAUGCUGUGAGGAAGCCCAAGCUAACCACAUGGGCAAAAAAGAUGCCCUCUGACUGCCACCAUUUGAGACACUCUAAUUAAGAACUGCCUCAUUGAGCCCAUGAGGCCCUGUGAAUGAUAAUAAUAAAUUGUUUUUAACCACUA